UCGGGAUCCGAAUGCCCGUUUUUUUGACCCACAUAUUUCACAAAACCCAAAUUCCUUUCAUCCAUUCUCACCAAAACCUUAGACAACUUCUCCUCCCCAGUUCAUCCAUCUACCACCUCCUAACUUCUCCUCUCAAAACUCUAAUGUCGUCGAUGGUUUUAGCACCAUAUCCGCCGCUGCACAUCCUCCAAACCCUAGAUCUGAUACCGGAGUCGAUGGUUUCAGCACCAUAUCCGCCGAUCGAUGGUAAAGUAAAGAGGAAUCAUCAGGCUUCCACUCAUCUGGAUGAGCUUGCUCAGGCUUCUAUGGAUAAGCAAGAAAUUAGAAACUGCUAUGAUGGAUUACUAUCUGCUGCUGCAGCUAUGACAAAUAGUAUAUUUGAGUUUUCAGAGUCACUACAGGAAGUAGGGACUGGACAAAACCGUAACCGAUGCUAAUGGUGAAUGUGGAAGAGUGUUACGGUUGCACAAGGCUGAAUUGGGUGGUGAUCGACGGCCGAUUUACAACGGUGAACUGCGACAUAAAACAAGACGACAACGUCAUGCGUGCUGGGGCUGUUUUGGGAAGAGUCGCCAGCCACUAACACAGCAGCUGCUUCUCGACGAGGUAGGGGUACUAAGAGAAGUCGUGCUUCCGAAGUUCGUAAUUGUUUUGCAUAGUCCUAUAUUAUCGGGUCUGCGAGUCAUGUACCCUGUUAAGCACACAUCGGUUUGACAUCUAUAAGAACAUUGAUAAAAUUGAGUUUGUGAAAUGCCCUGUUUCUGUCAUCCAUGUAAGCAUUAUUUUUCUUAACUUCCUAUAUAAUCACUCAUAAAAUCGCCCUUCCCGUUGAUUCUGAUUUUUUUUAUGAGAGGCUUCUUUUAAGCACUUCAUCGUUAGCAUUAAUAAUUUAAGUGUUGCCAUAAAUAUAGGAAUGUGGACUUUGUUAGAAACUUAUAAAUAGGUGUCGAUGAUUACUCAUUUUGUUUCUGAGCACUAGGAAUCAUUCAGUAGGUAAAACAUUGUUUAUUAGAUGAUGAUCUGUGUCUGAUGUAGCUAAUUUGAGGUUUGACCUUUGACCAUCACCAUAAUAGAUAAAUAAUAAAUAAUAAUAGAUUAUUAAAUCUCUUAUAUUAUUAUAUACUUCUAUUGUAAUAAUUAUAAUAUAUUAUCCUGUAUGUAUGUAUGGUAAUUUGUCCAUGUGAAAGCUUAAACUUCUAACCUCAUUAACGUUAUGUGUAAUAAGUAGAUAUAUAUGAUGACAUAAAUAUUGUAACUAAUCAGUAAUUCUCUAUCUAAUCGAACCUAUCACAAAAAAAAAUGAAGAAAUCCUGGAACACACUAAAUAAUAAUUUGAAUUCCUUUUAAUUUUCCAUUAUUUAUCUCCUAUUAUUUUGGGGUUUGGGUUUCCAUAAUAUAUAGAUUCAGUUAAAUUCCUAUAAUUUUGUGAUAUGGAUUCCCAAAUUUAAUUCCACAUUUAAUCUAAUACUAAAUAAUCUAUCUAUAACUUACAAAAUAAUCUAAACAAUCUAUCUAUAACUCAAAUUCUAACUAAUUAAAUUAAAUUAUACAUUGAUAUACAAACCCUUAUAUUUGAUAUAUAUAUCUACAAUUCUCUAUACGAUAACCCCAAAGCUCUGGAUUAUCCAUAGGACUGCAAUAUAUUGAGUCCUGUUAACCUCACAUAAACCCUAAGACGCCUCUACCUGCAAUUUUACUCCAGCUACGAUUGUAUCUCCGGGUAAUUUUUCAAAUUUCUAUCCUCUAUAUAUUAUUAGUUUCAUCACUACCAUUGUUCUAUAUGUGAUGUGUAUAUUUCUUUAUAGAACCAUGGAAGGCAGAAAUCUAAUAUAUUUGAACGAUAUUGAUGGCACAAGAAGAGAUUUUUCAAUCAAGGUACAAGAUUUCAAUACGAGUAGAGGAUUGCACAGGAACUGUAAAUCUUACUCUAUUUGACCGUGAUACAGUCAAACUUUUGGGUUUAUAAUUGGUUGACAAAUAUUUGCAGGAGGUUUCUGUUGAUGAGAAAGUCACACCUGUUGAAUUCGGUGCUUUCAUCGACAAAAAAGUUUAAAGAGUUUGACUCGAUGAAUCUCCCCACCACUGCUUCAUUGUCACAAAGUGAUGCUGGUGUCAAGGAUUCAAAAUCCUAUACUGUAGAUGAUGCAACACCGCUAUCCAGGAAUAAUGAAAGUAGAAAGAGUACUGGUGAUCUGAAAUGCACACUAGAAGGUUCUUAUGAUGUAGACAACUCAUAUUCAUUUUCUCCAUCAAAAAAGUCGAAAAACUGAAACCAAAGAUGAAACCAAGGCUCAAUCCAAAGACAAACUUUUGAUCCCUAAACUUGAAAAGUAGUUUUAUUACUUUCAAGCUGCAAAAGAUUUCCUUCUUUUUUUCCUUGUGUUCUUGUGAUUUUAUUUUCAAACAAAAGUAGUUGGUUUUUUUAUGAUCUGAUACUAUAUUUUAUUUUGAAGAAUUUUUUUAUUA